rnacentral:rRNA from 1 species
GAUGAACGUUGGCGGUGUGCCUAAUACAUGCAAGUCGAACGGAGUUAAUAGCAAUAUUGACUUAGUGGCGAACGGGUGAGUAACGCGUUGGUGAUCUGCCUUGAAGUGUGGAAUAACGCUCCGAAAGGAGCGCUAAUACCGCAUGUGCUCUCAAUUUUUAGAAACUUGAGAGGAAAGGAUUUAUUCGCUUCGAGAGGAGCCUGCGUCCCAUCAGCUGGUUGGUAGGGUAAAGGCCUACCAAGGCAAUGACGGGUAGGGGACCUGAGAGGGUGGCCCCCCACAAUGGAACUGAAACACGGUCCAUACACCUACGGGUGGCAGCAGUAGGGAAUAUUAGAAAUGGACGAAAGUCUGAUCUAGCAACACCGCGUGUGCGAAGAAGGCCUUCGGGUCGUAAAGCACUUUUUGGAAGGAAUAGGAAGGAAUGUACUUCCAGAAUAAGUCUCGGCUAACUACGUGCCAGCAGCCCGGUAAAACGUAGCGUG